rnacentral:rRNA from 1 species
GAUGAACGCUGGCGGCGUGCCUAAUACAUGCAAGUCGAGCGAACAGACGAGGAGUUUCCUCCUCUGACGUUAGCGGCGGACGGGUGAGUAACAUGUGGAUAAUCUACCUAUAAGACUGGGAUACCUUCGGGAAACCGGAGCUAAUACCGGAUAAUAUAUUCAACCGCAUGGUUCAAUAGUGAAAGAUGGUUUUGCUGUCACUUAUCGAUGGAUCCGCGCCGCAUUAGCUAGUUGGUAAGGUAACGGCUUACCAAGGCAACGAUGUGUAGCCGACCUGAGAGGGGGAUCGCGCACACUGGAACUGAGACACGGUCCAGACUCCUACGGGAGGCAGCGGUAGGGAAUCGUCCGCGAUGGGCGAAAGCCUGACGGAGCAACGCCGCGUGAGUGAUGAAGGUCUGCGGAUCGUAAAACUCUGUUAUUAGGGAAGAACAAAUGUGUAAGUAACUAUGCACGUCUUGACGGUACCUGAUCAGAAAGCCACGGCUAACUACGUG